GACAAACGCUGGCGGCGUGCUUAACACAUGCAAGUCGAACGGAAAGGCCCUGCUUUUGUGGGGUGCUCGAGUGGCGAACGGGUGAGUAACACGUGAGUAACCUGCCCUUGACUUUGGGAUAACUUCAGGAAACUGGGGCUAAUACCGGAUAGGAGCUCCUGCUGCAUGGUGGGGGUUGGAAAGUUUCGGCGGUUGGGGAUGGACUCGCGGCUUAUCAGCUUGUUGGUGGGGUAGUGGCUUUCCAAGGCUUUGACGGGUAGCCGGCCUGAGAGGGUGACCGGCCACAUUGGGACUGAGAUACGGCCCAGACUCCUACGGGAGGCAGCAGUGGGGAAUAUUGCACAAUGGGCGGAAGCCUGAUGCAGCAACGCCGCGUGCGGGAUGACGGCCUUCGGGUUGUAAACCGCUUUCGCCUGUGACGAAGCGUGAGUGACGGUAAUGGGUAAAGAAGCACCGGCUAACUACGUG
rnacentral:rRNA from 1 species